GGGGCUGUAGUGUAGCUAGGUAUCAUUGGCCCUUGGGGUGGGUCCGACCCCGGUUCAAAUCCGGGCAGCCCCA
rnacentral:tRNA from 1 species